AGAGGGGACAGGGGACAGACAAGGCACGACACGGCAUGUUUGUAUUUGUACCGAGCCUGCACAUGCUGCAAUUUGGGACAGACUUUGCCUUUGACCGAUCAAUGUACGAUGACUUUCUUUGGACUUAAGCCUUUAGUGUCUUCUCAAAGUACCUGUGUCAGGGCCUGACAUGGCAAUGAGAGUUUAGGGAGAACAACAGUCCAAAAUAAAUGAAAAUAAAAACCCUGCAUGCCCUACACCAAGGAAGGAACUGGCAGAUAAUAUGAAUGGGUGUCUGUGUGCCCCCCCCCCCAAAACAUCCUAUCUUAUAUUUCUUCAUGAUUUUAAGCCUAUUCAGUUCAAUUUACCUGAACGGCCCCGGCCAUGCUCUGAACCAUUCUCUACAACCCUUAUUGAGCAGUUGAGUUAUUCUGCUCCAUCCUUGCUUCCAUUGCUGGUCUUAAUUCCUUUUAAAAAUAUUUUUUUCUCUCGCUUUUGCAGCAUCCUCUGUUUUUUUCAUUCACUAGCUACCGCACUACUUGAACCUGAGAGGACAGGAGAGGACAAAACAAGCAUUUUUUUUCAAAUGUGAUGGAGAUGCUUGCAUUUUUACAGACUAUUGCAGGUUAAUGUAAAGCUGCCUGUUUAUAUACACACUUCAAACAACAAGCAUUUUCCUAUCGCUGAAGUAGUUGGUCCUACGGCAUUGCAAAAAAAAAGAAGAAAAAAUGGAGAAAAAACUCCUCUGGCUUAAUUUCUUUCUUUCCCAUACUCGUUGUCUAUAUGUGUUAACUGUACCAGUGUUUUCACCUGUCCCUAGAAUUUAGAAGGAAAUAAUAAUCGCUGGUAGAGCUUGUUCGCUAGUUCAUCUACUGUUUGAUUUUGAUUUAAGGGAAAGUGUUUGUUGCCUCUUUGUGCUACUGAUUUAUAUAAAAGGUAUCCAGUAUUUGUUGCCACAAAAGUAUAGUUCAUCAACACUUUUUGUUUGUGCAACCUCUUGAGCAAAUGUCUUUCAAACAAAAAUGUAUUACUAUUUAUGUAACGCUACUACCAUUUUAUAUAAUUUGUGUUGGAAUCUCAGUGCUUUUCUAUGAAUAAAGUGUGAAACACGUAUAUUGACUCCUGCUGCUCUCUGAGAACUGGCUUCUCUUAGAUGUUGCUCAAUUAGUAUAUCAAUAAUACAUAAGAAGGGAUCACUUCAGGUAGGUUAUCCAAUUAGUAAUGCCACACAUGUAGUUUACCAGACUUCACAACAACACUAUUCUGAGAAGGGAUCAGAUACAAUUAUCACUGUUUAUGUGUAGCUCUGAUUUCUCCUCUAAGACACUUUCUCAGCUCAUUGCAAUUCUCAAUCGUUAGGGAAUUCACAGAGCUAAACCUGUGAAUCAGGUCAUAAAGAAUCCUAAGUGUGCAUGUGAGAGACAGGCAGCACAUCUCCAGCCCAGAUUGAUUGCCUCCGUAAAUGAGCUUAUUAAUUAUCGCAGCAGACGGCUCACCACUGUCUGAUUCACAUUCUAUUCUCAAUAUAACACCCCAACACUACCACAAUCUGUUCAAUUACUGCACCUCACCCACCCUCCUACAUAUGGAAUAGGACUGACUGAAUUCCAUAAAUCCCUUUUAGGUUGAUCCGGACUGAUAUUGAACGUGAUGACUGACCGGUUCGUAUAGCUCUACUGUUAACCUAACAAUCUAUUCUAGAGGAUUGUGUUUUUUUCUCCUCUGGCUUUCUGCUGCUGUAGGAGCCAAUCUGUUACGCUGUAAACACCAUGAAGACCAAACUACACAGCUUCUCCCCUGCAUUAUCCAGGGGGCAGUGCUUCACAGAUGGGCUCCGUCGUUGUGUUUUGG
rnacentral:lncRNA from 13 species